rnacentral:snoRNA from 1 species
UGCCCUCAAAGAUGAGCCAUAUUAUCAAUUCAGUUAUCCCUGUCUGAACAACGCUUGUUGACUACAUUUUACUCUGAGAGACUA